rnacentral:rRNA from 1 species
AUGAACCGGUAUGGUAUGCCAUUCAUACCCUUUGUUGGUCUUAACAAUCACCGGAAGACCACUGUUUUUGCUUGUGCCAUAGUUUCGGACGAGACCGAAGAGACAUAUGUGUGGCUGCUGGAGACUUUCUUGAGGUCCAUGUGUCAAAAGAUGCCGAAGAGUGUUAUCACGGACGCCGACGCUGCGAUGAUCAAGGCAAUUCGCCAAGUCUUGCCAGACGUGUGA